rnacentral:rRNA from 1 species
UUAAGUGACUAAGCGUACACGGUGGAUGCCUGGGCAGUCAGAGGCGAUGAAGGACGUACUAACUUGCGAUAAGCGCAGAUAAGGCAGUAAGAGCCGUUUGAGUCUGCGAUUUCCGAAUGGGGAAACCCAACUGCAUAAGCAGUUACUGUUAACUGAAUACAUAGGUUAACAGAGCAAACCGGGGGAACUGAAACAUCUAAGUACCCCGAGGAGAAGAAAUCAACCGAGAUUCCGGUAGUAGCGGCGAGCGAACCUGGAUUAGCCCUUAAGCACUCGGUGAAGUAGGUGAACAAGCUGGAAAGCUUGGCGAUACAGGGUGAUAGCCCCGUAACCGACGCUUCAUCGAGCGUGAAAUCGAGUAGGACGGGACACGUGAUAUCCUGUCUGAAUAUGGGGGGACCAUCCUCCAAGGCUAAAUACUCCUGACUGACCGAUAGUGAACCAGUACCGUGAGGGAAAGGCGAAAAGAACCCCUGUGAGGGGAGUGAAAUAGAACCUGAAACCGUGUACGUACAAGCAGUAGGAGCACCUUCGUGGUGUGACUGCGUACCUUUUGUAUAAUGGGUCAGCGACUUAUAUUCAGUGGCAAGGUUAACCGUAUAGGGGGAGCCGUAGCGAAAGCGAGUCUUAACUGGGCGCUCAGUCUCUGGAUAUAGACCCGAAACCGGGUGAUCUAGCCAUGGGCAGGUUGAAGGUUGAGUAACAUCAACUGGAGGACCGAACCGACUAAUGUUGAAAAAUUAGCGGAUGACUUGUGGCUAGGGGUGAAAGGCCAAUCAAACUCGGAGAUAGCUGGUUCUCCCCGAAAGCUAUUUAGGUAGCGCCUCGGACGAAUACUACUGGGGGUAGAGCACUGUUAAGGCUAGGGGGUCAUCCCGACUUACCAACCCUUUGCAAACUCCGAAUACCAGUAAGUACUAUCCGGGAGACACACGGCGGGUGCUAACGUCCGUCGUGGAGAGGGAAACAACCCAGACCGCCAGCUAAGGUCCCAAAGUAUUGCUAAGUGGGAAACGAUGUGGGAAGGCUCAGACAGCUAGGAUGUUGGCUUAGAAGCAGCCAUCAUUUAAAGAAAGCGUAAUAGCUCACUAGUCGAGUCGGCCUGCGCGGAAGAUGUAACGGGGCUAAGCAAUACACCGAAGCUGCGGCAAUGUCUUUUAGACAUUGGGUAGGGGAGCGUUCUGUAAGCCGUUGAAGGUGAAUCGUAAGGUUUGCUGGAGGUAUCAGAAGUGCGAAUGCUGACAUGAGUAACGACAAAGGGGGUGAAAAACCUCCUCGCCGGAAGACCAAGGGUUCCUGUCCAACGUUAAUCGGGGCAGGGUGAGUCGACCCCUAAGGUGAGGCCGAAAGGCGUAAUCGAUGGGAAACGGGUUAAUAUUCCCGUACUUCUGACUAUUGCGAUGGGGGGACGGAGAAGGCUAGGUGGGCCAGGCGACGGUUGUCCUGGUUCAAGUGCGUAGGCUUGAGAGUUAGGUAAAUCCGGCUCUCUCUAAGGCUGAGACACGACGUCGAGCUACUACGGUAGUGAAGUCAUUGAUGCCAUGCUUCCAGGAAAAGCCUCUAAGCUUCAGAUAGUCAGGAAUCGUACCCCAAACCGACACAGGUGGUCGGGUAGAGAAUACCAAGGCGCUUGAGAGAACUCGGGUGAAGGAACUAGGCAAAAUGGUACCGUAACUUCGGGAGAAGGUACGCUCUUGAUGGUGAAGUCCCUCGCGGAUGGAGCUGACGAGAGUCGCAGAUACCAGGUGGCUGCAACUGUUUAUUAAAAACACAGCACUGUGCAAAAUCGCAAGAUGACGUAUACGGUGUGACGCCUGCCCGGUGCCGGAAGGUUAAUUGAUGGGGUUAGCGCAAGCGAAGCUCUUGAUCGAAGCCCCGGUAAACGGCGGCCGUAACUAUAACGGUCCUAAGGUAGCGAAAUUCCUUGUCGGGUAAGUUCCGACCUGCACGAAUGGCGUAAUGAUGGCCACGCUGUCUCCACCCGAGACUCAGUGAAAUUGAAAUCGCUGUGAAGAUGCAGUGUACCCGCGGCUAGACGGAAAGACCCCGUGAACCUUUACUACAGCUUGGCACUGAACAUUGAACCUACAUGUGUAGGAUAGGUGGGAGGCUAUGAAGACGUGACGCCAGUUGCGUUGGAGCCGUCCUUGAAAUACCACCCUUGUAUGUUUGAUGUUCUAACUUAGACCCAUUAUCUGGGUUGAGGACAGUGCCUGGUGGGUAGUUUGACUGGGGCGGUCUCCUCCCAAAGAGUAACGGAGGAGCACGAAGGUGGGCUAAUCACGGUUGGACAUCGUGAGGUUAGUGCAAUGGCAUAAGCCCGCUUAACUGCGAGAAUGACGGUUCGAGCAGGUGCGAAAGCAGGUCAUAGUGAUCCGGUGGUUCUGUAUGGAAGGGCCAUCGCUCAACGGAUAAAAGGUACUCCGGGGAUAACAGGCUGAUACCGCCCAAGAGUUCAUAUCGACGGCGGUGUUUGGCACCUCGAUGUCGGCUCAUCACAUCCUGGGGCUGAAGUCGGUCCCAAGGGUAUGGCUGUUCGCCAUUUAAAGUGGUACGCGAGCUGGGUUUAGAACGUCGUGAGACAGUUCGGUCCCUAUCUGCCGUGGGCGUUGGAAGAUUGAAGGGGGCUGCUCCUAGUACGAGAGGACCGGAGUGGACGAACCUCUGGUGUUCGGGUUGUGUCGCCAGACGCAUUGCCCGGUAGCUAAGUUCGGAAUUGAUAAGCGCUGAAAGCAUCUAAGCGCGAAGCGAGCCCUGAGAUGAGUCUUCCCUGACAGUUUAACUGUCCUAAAGGGUUGUUCGAGACUAGAACGUUGAUAGGCAGGGUGUGUAAGCGUUGUGAGGCGUUGAGCUAACCUGUACUAAUUGCCCGUGAGGCUUAACCAU